rnacentral:rRNA from 1 species
UAUGAUGACGGUACUGUUUGUAAGCUCCGGCUAACUCCGUGCCAGCAGCCGCGGUAAUACGGGGGGAGCAAGCGUUGUUCGGAUUUACUGGGCGUAAAGGGCGCGUAGGCGGCGCAACAAGUCACUUGUGAAAUCUUCAGGCUUAACCUGAAGCGGCCAAGUGAUACUGUCGUGCUAGAGUGCGGAAGGGGCAACUGGAAUUCUUGGUGUAGCGGUGAAAUGCGUAGAUAUCAAGAGGAACACCUGCGGCGAAGGCGGGUUGCUGGGCCGACACUGACGCUGAGGCGCGAAAGCUAGGGGGGCGAACGGGAUUAGAUACCCCGGUAGUCCUAGCCUUAAACGAUGAAUGCUUGGUGUCCGAGGUUAGAUAGUCCUCGGGUGCCGUCGCUAACGCUUUAAGCAUUCCGCCUGGGGAGUACGGUCGCAAGACUGAAACUCAAAGGAAUUGACGGGGACCCGCACAAGCGGUGGAGCAUGUGGUUUAAUUCGACGCAACGCGAAGACCCUUACCUAGCCUAGAAUGCCUCUGACAGCUCUGGAGACAGAGUCUCCUUGGGAAACCAAGGCAGAGUGCAAGGUGCUGCAUGGCUGUCGUCAGCUCGUGUCGU